GUAGACCGCCUGGGGAGUACGGUCGCAAGAUUAAAACUCAAAGGAAUUGACGGGGACCCGCACAAGCGGUGGAUGAUGUGGAUUAAUUCGAUGCAACGCGAAAAACCUUACCUACCCUUGACAUGGCUGGAAUCCCUGAGAGAUUGGGGAGUGCUCGAAAGAGAACCAGUACACAGGUGCUGCAUGGCUGUCGUCAGCUCGUGUCGUGAGAUGUUGGGUUAAGUCCCGCAACGAGCGCAACCCUUGUCAUUAGUUGCUACGAAAGGGCACUCUAAUGAGACUGCCGGUGACAAACC
rnacentral:rRNA from 1 species